GCCGCGAUAACGCCGAUCACAGGACGGCAACGCGCACGCGUCGGACGGCCGCGCUCCUCUCGCACGUGGCGAAGGUUACCGCGUUGGAAAGUGCGUCUUCCGGUUCCCCGAUCGAUCGAUCGAUCGCCGAUUGGUACAAGUGCAGUUCCGACGGGAAGCGUUUGGUACCGGGACCGUUUAGCGACUGGAACGUUGAAAUUGAACCGUUCGCGCUGCGGGAGUUACGCGCGUUGACGUAAUUGCCGUCUAUAGCCCGACGCCUGGCGAACGUAGCGAAUCAAGUGUUCGGUAUUCAAGCUUGGAAAGCAGACAGAUUAAGUAUAGUUCUAGGUAUACUUUGCGAAUUGUACAAGAACACGAGCUUCUGGAGCUGACGAUUUACAGGACACCGAAGACCGUUGUCUCGUCGCAUGCGAGACGUUCGAAUGAUUUAUGAAAGAACGAUACACAGAAGUUCGAGUAACUGGAGCUCGGGGUGGUAUCGAGCGACCUGCAUUCCCGCGGCGAACCUUUCAGUCGUUCUAGACAACCUUUUUUCGUCGGAACCAAGAAAGAGGAGUGGCGAGCUCGGACCGGAACUUGCGUCGAUCGCUUGUACCGAGUAUUCGACGUGCAUAUGGAUACCAGACGAUUUAACACUUCGACUGCCAAGCGAACACUCGGCGAAACUUCUAUGCAGUUGAGACAGUUUUCUCAAUUCAACGGAAACUACAACGUUAAGGUUCCUCGCAAUAAUUCCUCUAGAAUCUCUUAUGUCUCUCGCAUCCAACAAAACUCAUUCGACAUGUUAACAAGAAAAUCCAUGUGUAAAUAUAUGUACAAACCGUCACCCGACUUUCGGUGACGUGGCAGUGAAGUGUUAUCCAUCAA